rnacentral:rRNA from 1 species
UCUGGGAUAACCCCGAGAAAUCGGAGCUAAUACCGGAUAGGACCUGGAACCGCAUGGUUUUGGGUGGAAAGUUUUUCGGUCUGGGAUGGACUCGCGGCCUAUCAGCUUGUUGGUGAGGUAAUGGCUCACCAAGGCGUCGACGGGUAGCCGGCCUGAGAGGGUGACCGGCCACACUGGGACUGAGACACGGCCCAGACUCCUACGGGAGGCAGCAGUGGGGAAUAUUGCACAAUGGGCGCAAGCCUGAUGCAGCAACGCCGCGUGAGGGAUGACGGCCUUCGGGUUGUAAACCUCUUUUAGUAAGGAAGAAGGGCCUUCGGGCUUGACGGUACUUGCAGAAAAAGCACCGGCUAACUACGUGCCAGCAGCCGCGGUAAUACGUAGGGUGCGAGCGUUGUCCGGAAUUAUUGGGCGUAAAGAGCUCGUAGGCGGUUUGUCACGUCUGCUGUGAAAUCCCGAGGCUCAACCUCGGGCCUGCAGUGGGUACGGGCAGACUGGAGUGCGGUAGGGGAGAAUGGAAUUCCUGGUGUAGCGGUGGAAUGCGCAGAUAUCAGGAGGAACACCGAUGGCGAAGGCAGUUCUCUGGGCCGUAACUGACGCUGAGGAGCGAAAGCGUGGGGAGCGAACAGGAUUAGAUACCCUGGUAGUCCACGCCGUAAACGUUGGGCGCUAGAUGUGGGGACCUUUCCACGGUUUCCGUGUCGUAGCUAACGCAUUAAGCGCCCCGCCUGG